AUUGAGUUCUAUCCUGACAGGGCUUCUGUACUGUAGCCACACAUUGUUGGAAACACCUCAUACAGUAAUUGUGUGGUUUUGCUUUAUUCACAGAACUCUUUGUUAGAUCUGUUGGAGGUAACCACAAGGCAGUU
rnacentral:snoRNA from 1 species